GGCCGGCUGGCGCAAUGGUAGCGCAUCAGACUUCUAUCUUCUCGUCCUUCGAGAUGUGGGUAUCUGGGGGUUGUGGGUUCGAGCCCCACGUUGGUCA